AGUGAGGAAUAUUGCACAAUGGGGGAAACCCUGAUGCAGCAACGCCGCGUGGAGGAUGACGCAUUUCGGUGUGUAAACUCCUUUUAUAUGUCAAGAAAAUGACGGUAGCAUAUGAAUAAGCACCGGCUAACUCCGUGCCAGCAGCCGCGGUAAUACGGAGGGUGCAAGCGUUACUCGGAAUCACUGGGCGUAAAGGACGCGUAGGCGGGUUGGAAAGUCAGAUGUGAAAUCCUACAGCUUAACUGUAGAACUGCAUUUGAAACUUCUAAUCUAGAGUAUGGGAGGGGGAGAUGGAAUUAGUGGUGUAGGGGUAAAAUCCGUAGAUAUCACUAGGAAUACCGAAAGCGAAGGCGAUCUCCUGGAACAUAACUGACGCUAAGGCGUGAAAGCGUGGGGAGCAAACAGGAUUAGAUACCCUGGUAGUCCACGCCCUAAACGAUGAACACUAGUCGUCGGGAUGCUAGUCAUCUCGGUGAUGCACUUAACAGAUUAAGUGUUCCGCCUGGGGAGUACGGUCGCAAGAUUAAAACUCAAAGGAAUAGACGGGGACCCGCACAAGUGGUGGAGCAUGUGGUUUAAUUCGAAGAUACGCGAAGAACCUUACCUAGCCUUGACAUUGAUUGAACACACUAGAGAUAGAGUGGUGCCCUUCGGGGAACAUGAAAACAGGUGCUGCACGGCUGUCGUCAGCUCGUGUCGUGAGAUGUUGGGUUAAGUCCCGCAACGAGCGCAACCCUCGUCCUUAGUUGCUAGCAGUUCGGCUGAGCACUCUAAGGAGACUGCCUUCGUAAGGAGGAGGAAGGUGAGGACGACGUCAAGUCAUCAUGGCCCUUAUGGCUAGGGCUACACACGUGCUACAAUGGGGCGUACAGAGUGUUGCGAUACCGCGAGGUGGAGCUAAUCACUUAAAGCGUCUCUCAGUUCGGAUUGGAGUUCUGCAACUCGAC
rnacentral:rRNA from 1 species